rnacentral:misc_RNA from 1 species
UAGAGCGGCGUGAGUGGUGCUUGGUAUGUUGCGGGUGGUUGGAUGUCUGCAUGUGCAGCAACGUCCACCCGUGCAUGCCUCUUCAAUUACCUUGAGGGGCCGUCGUAUGGCCCCCUAGCAAUCGCCGGUGUUUCCUGUGUUGCGUGCCUACUCGAUGGCAUCUUGUUGCUUGCUCUGUGCCCCAUUCCAUCGUGCGUCGCUCAUGCGGCGUGUUAUGGACCCCGAAGCGGCCUCUCUGUUCCUUGCUGUUGGUGAUUGUACGCCAUCGGCAUGGCCCAUUGUGUGUUGCUUGGUUUCUUGGAUACGGAACCUUGUGUGGGUACGGGGUCUCCCGGGACCUUGUGUUUGCCCUCGUCAAGCGUUCUCGCUUCUCGUAAACGACCGGCUGGCCGCGUGUCGACAUGCUCGUGCACGGCCGACGUUGUCGAAGAGGAAUGCUACCUGGUUGAUCCUGCCAGUAGUCAUAUGCUUGUCUC